UACGUAGGUGGCAAGCGUUGUUCGGAAUUAUUGGGCGUAAAGAGCUCGUAGGCGGCUUGUCACGUCGGGUGUGAAAGCCCGGGGCUUAACCCCGGGUCUGCAUUCGAUACGGGCUAGCUAGAGUGUGGUAGGGGAGAUCGGAAUUCCUGGUGUAGCGGUGAAAUGCGCAGAUAUCAGGAGGAACACCGGUGGCGAAGGCGGAUCUCUGGGCCAUUACUGACGCUGAGGAGCGAAAGCGUGGGGAGCGAACAGG
rnacentral:rRNA from 1 species